UACGAAGGGUGCAAGCGUUGUUCGGAAUUAUUGGGCGUAAAGGGCGCGUAGGCGGUGCGGUAAGUCUGAUGUGAAAUCUCCGGGCUCAACUCGGAGUCUGCAUCAGAAACUGCCGUGCUCGAGUGUGGGAGAGGUGAGUGGAAUUCCCGGUGUAGCGGUGAAAUGCGUAGAUAUUGGGAAGAACACCGGUGGCGAAGGCGGCUCACUGGCUCAUUACUGACGCUCAUGCGCGACAGCGUGGGGAUCAAACAGG
rnacentral:rRNA from 1 species